AUAUCAAUAAGCGGAGGAAAAGAAACCAACAGGGAUUGCCUCAGUAACGGCGAGCGAAGCGGCAAAAGCUCAAAUUUGAAAGCUAGCGUCUUUUAGGCGUUCGCGUUGUAAUUUGAAGAUGGCAACUUUGGAGUUGGACCUGGUAUAUGUUCCUUGGAACAGGACGUCAUAGAGGGUGAGAAUCCCGUACAUGAUCAGGACCCCAUCUCUUUGUAAAGUGCUUUCUAAGAGUCGAGUUGUUUGGGAAUGCAGCUCUAAGUGGGUGGUAAAUUCCAUCUAAAGCUAAAUAUAGGCGAGAGACCGAUAGCGAACAAGUACAGUGAUGGAAAGAUGAAAAGAACUUUGAAAAGAGAGUGAAAAAGUACGUGAAAUUGUUGAAAAGGAAGGGCUUGAGAUCAGACUUGGCUUGUAGUGAUCAACUGUCUUUCGGGACUGUGCACUCGCUACUUGCUAGGCCAGCAUCAGUUCUGGCGGUGAGAUAAUGGUAGUGGAAUGUGACUUUGCUUCGGUAAAGUGUUAUAGCCACAUGCUGAUGUCACCAGCCGGGACUGAGGACCGCGUCUUUGACUAGGAUGCUGGCGUG
rnacentral:rRNA from 1 species